CAAUGGCUCUAUGUCAGCUCAGAUUUAUCUCUACCAUCUAUUGAAGCUAUAAAGGUACUAAAAGGAGGAAAAAAGAAGUAAGAUUAAAGAUUUUUUAAAGUAUUCAUUUCAGUCCUAAGCAAAAAGACCUCUUCAAGCAAAAGAAGCUUUCAAUUCAAAUUUACCAACCCCUCAAGAGCUCAUUCAAGUCUUCAACCACCUUGAGAAAAAUCAUAAAAACUUCUUUCUUAUUGUGUAAAGUAUAUUUAAAGUUU
rnacentral:lncRNA from 1 species